rnacentral:rRNA from 1 species
GACGAACGCUGGCGGCGUGCUUAACACAUGCAAGUCGAACGGAAAGGCCCUGCUUUUGUGGGGUGCUCGAGUGGCGAACGGGUGAGUAACACGUGAGUAACCUGCCCUUGACUUUGGGAUAACUUCAGGAAACUGGGGCUAAUACCGGAUAGGAGCUCCUGCUGCAUGGUGGGGGUUGGAAAGUUUCGGCGGUUGGGGAUGGACUCGCGGCUUAUCAGCUUGUUGGUGGGGUAGUGGCUUACCAAGGCUUUGACGGGUAGCCGGCCUGAGAGGGUGACCGGCCACAUUGGGACUGAGAGACGGCCCAGACUCCUACGGGAGGCAGCAGUGGGGAAUAUUGCACAAUGGGGGGAAGCCUGAUGCAGAAACGCCGCGUGCGGGAUGACGGCCUUCGGGUUGUAAACCGCUUUCGCCUGUGACGAAGCGUGAGUGACGGUAAUGGGUAAAGAAGCACCGGCUAACUACGUG